UAUCAUUCUGACUCGCUCAUCCCAACAACACGGAAGAGAAUUUUCUCUUGUCGCGCUCGCUCUUCUGAUAUAAGACAUCAUGGUUUUGCGAAGGGAAGGUAACGCCAUCGCCAUGAUGGUUGCCAAGCGACAGAUCCACACCCUGAAGAGGGUCUGGACCUCCGUCAAGGAGCAGGAGAAGAAGCUGAAGGACAUCCAGGCCCGGGUAGAGGUCACACGGAUGAUGAUCCACGGGGGUAGAUCCGUGAACAGGGACGAAGACAAAGCUGAGAAGUAGAUACAGCGAGAAACAUACCAGCCCACAGUGAGAAACGAAAGUGCAGCGGGGAUCAUGACACGUCACCACUUCUGACGACACGUCACAGCAGAUCUCAUGACGUCAUCCCGGACGUGGCCCCAUCCUGACACGUCACAGCUAUCCCGGCGUGACUGUUGAUAUGUACUCUCAGGAAUCUGUUCUAUGAAUAGUUAGACUGAUCGACGACGUUACGUUUGUUCGGUGAUAUUUUAUUUGUUUUACAUUCUGUUGUGUCUGCAAAAAUCGACAACGAAAUGCGACAUACUAGUGUAUAGCAAGCGACAAGGUACAAUCUCAGGAAUCCGUGGAUGGUUUAAAAUGACGAUUUUACGUAUCAAGUUUGUUUCAAGAUGUUGUUAACAAUUAGCACUCCGACAGAGACGGACAUCAACACAUGUCCAAAUGUCCAGGACUUUUAGGCGCCCAAAAUUCUUAGGAUGUCAUUAUGUGCAACUAUGAGUGUGUAUGUGGCUCAGAACAUACAUCCAGUUUGUACAAACUUAGAUUAUUUGAAUUACGUCAAAAUGAGAGUGGUCUAAAUGACACGCCCUCAGGAAUAUAUUCUGUAAACAUAUGUUGAUGAAAUGCUACAGAGGUGACAAGCUACAGUUGUAGUUUAGAGUGAGGACGAUGCAUACAUGUACGAAUAUAACGUUAGUAACUUGUAACUGUGUGUUUGUGCGUGCUUGUAUAUGUACGUUUGAGUGUGUGUACAUCAAUGUUAUUUCUGUGAGUGGUGUCAGUUCAUACGUCAGAUAAUGCAGGACCGAAAUAAAAGAACAUAUGUAGAAAUGUAGAGAUCGCGCAUGCGGUGAUGCAAAACGGACCCAAAACGUGCAGUACAACAUUAGAUCACCAGGCGUCGCUUCUGUGUUGCAUCACUAUGAAAACGCUCUUGAGGCCAGGGGAGGGGUGAAGGCUACUGCAAGAACCGCGGAAGGUUUGUUCCUUAUGUUCAUUUUGUAAAAGGUAUCCAAUUCUGUGGAUAAUAAAAGUGUUGGAUCUCUUUCCCCCUA